CUUAAAACACUGCUCUCAAGCCUUUAUGUGACAAGAAGCUGCAAGGAACGAAACCCCUAGACCCUCUACAACUACAACCCAGUAGGACACCCACCCUCUUUAUUACUCCACCGCAGCUUUUCAUUUUCUUUUAAAGUCAGGACAGCAAAUUUAUUCGUUUUGUGCUCAUUCUGUGCUUGAUUCACGGUUUAUUUGGUGGGAAAUGCCGUUGGGAUUGAUAACCGGGAUAGGGAGGGCGAUGAGGAGGAAGCGGACGUCGUCGCUGGACAUUCUUUCGUCAAAACGUGCUCCCCGUAAUUACUACAAGGGAAAGAAUUGCAAGCCCACGGGUUUUCACACUCGUAAAGGCGGGUAUGUUGUUGUACCGGAGAAACUGCCCAACUAUGUAGUCCCUGAUUUGACAGACUUCAUGCUCAAACCAUAUGUGUCUCAAUUUCAAACGGAGGUUAAAACAAGUGAAGCAUCUGAAUCUGCGAAGUAGAGCAAGAAUGAAUAUUUGAUCUCUUACAGUGUUGUUUAGCUGCCCAUUUGUUGAUCUCAACUCAAGCUGGACGUAAUGUUAUGGUGCCAUUGUGGAGUACGUGAAAGGGGUGGACUAGCUGGGAGUCUCGAAUUGAAUUUCUUCAGGUUUUUGGUGGGUGUCGGCUUCCUAAUUUGUCUGGCAUGUUAAAAAAUCAACCACGGUUAAUCGAUUCGAAUCUUUAUCCUAUCCUCUUUCGGUCACUAAACUAAAGGAUACAGGUAUUGAGUGAUGGUAAACAAGUUCAUCACUUGCAGACCAAGAACCAAAUUCAUUUCCUUUACAACCGUUUCAAGUGAUCAUCGAAAACAAGCAGCGUAAGUGGUGUCUGGUUACGGAAAGAGACCGUAGCUCUUAAGCUAGAGACAAGUACACCUAAUAAAGCAGGAGUGGCUGGGUUGCCAUUAGCCAAGAUCAGAAACUCUUAGUAAGCAUAAAGCCUGUAUUACAGAUGGGGUAUGGACCAUUAUGGCUUGGCUCACGAUAGAGAAAAACAAUCUUCCCUGGUGUUUUUCAAUUCUUCACGGCAAAGCCUACCUUUCUCGGUGGCGUGUGUACUUGAAUUCUGCUGGUUUAGAAGCGGUUGACUUUCUUCUUCUUUUUCCCUUCUUUUCUCUCUUUUCCUUGAUUUCCGUGCCUAACCUUGCAACAUUUUACAACAACUUUUCAAUUUGUUUUUCAUAAGGAUUUGGUCUCUGUUCUUUUAAUUGUUAUUUUUUAUUUGAAUUCAUUCAUGAAAUUGAAUUUUAUUUAUUUAUUUCAUCCUCCAUCA